rnacentral:rRNA from 1 species
AGCAGCCGCGGUAAUUCCAGCUCCAAUAGCGUAUAUUAAAGUUGUUGCAGUUAAAAAGCUCGUAGUUGAAUUUCGGGAUUAGUACGCUGGUCAUGCCUUUGGUAUGUACUGGUGUUACUGAUUUCUACCUUCUGAAGAACCGUUAUGUCAUUCAUUUGGUGUGGCGGGGAAUCAGGACUGUUACUUUGAAAAAUUAGAGUGUUUAAAGCAGGCUCGCGCUUGAAUACAUUAGCAUGGAAUAAUGAAAUAGGACGUUGAUCCUAUUUUGUUGGUUUCUAGGAUUGACGUAAUGAUUAAUAGGGAUAGUUGGGGGCAUUAGUAUUCAAUUGUCAGAGGUGAAAUUCUUGGAUUUAUUGAAGACUAACUACUGCGAAAGCAUUUGCCAAGGAUGUUUUCAUUAAUCAAGAACGAAAGUUAGGGGAUCGAAGACGAUCAGAUACCGUCGUAGUCUUAACCAUAAACUAUGCCGACUAGGGAUCGGAUGAUGUUAAUUUUUAAUGACUCAUUCGGCGCCUUAAC